AAUAGGACCACCCUGUAGUAAGAGAGAUGAUAUUUUCUCGUAAAAUUCAUAAACCAGAUUGCGAUUCAUAUUACAAUAAUAAACGUAUUCAAGAGUGUAUGUACAUACGUAUAUUAAGAGACAAGGACGGAGAAUUCCUUAUGUUUUCCACAGAUCCUUUCCCAGAGAUCUUCUCCCCCCCAUUCUUGCUUAGAUGAAUUAUUCCACACCCAGGAAAUUCUAAAAUCUCCGUCCUUAUUAAGAGGGAAUAUUUUCAGCUGAUUCUAAAUCCACUACUCUAUAAAUGUCAUUCAAUUUUGACAUUCCCGUUACGUAAAAGCCGGUCGCGGUUCUCUUCAAUUAACUUAACGUUCCAAAUAUAUCCUGCAAAAAAACCGACAAACUCUUAGCUGUUAAUAAUUGUCUAACCGGCUGGCUUGUCUUAAAUAUGAGAAGUUUGUUUUUUUCCUUAAUAAUUACUUUAUGAAGAACUUUUGUUGUUCACCAAGGGCAUUUGUUCCGUUUUAAUUGACACCGACGAGAUACUCUUAAAGACCGACACCCUUACGGGACUUAGCGUGGCAGCUGGUUUAGUAAUUACUAAAAUUUAAGCAAUUAGUCAAUAUACUCAAAUCAUUAUUUCAAAUGUAAAAU